UUUUUUACAUCGUAAAGUGGAGCUUGUACACAAUGACAGUAUAGCAAAUAGAGAAGACAUAGCUAGAAUGAUCUCAUAACUCACUCUCAAGAUAAAAGAAGCAGUAUCAACAAGGGAGGUAAAUCAGUUUCUGGUAGGGGAGAGAACUAAGUUACAGAACGAGAAAUCUCACCUGGAGAAAGAGCUUGAGAUUGAGAGAAAAAACAACGAUGAGAGAAAGGUUGAGAUUCAAGAUGUCAUUAGAAAAAUUGAGAGGACAGAAACUACUCAAAAAUCAACAGAAAAAGAUUCAAGGAACAAAGACAACGCAAUAUUAACUCUAGAAUCUGAUUUACGAAAUACAAAACAUAACUUGGCAGGGAUGGAAUCUGAAGUAACUCUGUUAAGAAAUAAAGUGGAUAAAUUAAAUGAAGACUUGAAAAAUUUAACGGGUAUUAAUGGGUCUCUAGAGAAGCGUCUUGAAAUAGAAAAGAAUUCCCUAGCAGAGGAGAAAAAUUCAGUCUCUAAAUGGAUGGAAGAUUAUAAAAUAUUGUCACAUGACUUUGAGGUUCUAAAGCACGACCAUACAGUACUGUGUGACAAAUACCAGUCUGAGCUAGAAGUUGUCGACAAGUUAAAAGUUGGUAUUCUAAAUAAGUUAUUUUACAGAGUUCUUUAACUAUUAUUUUACUGAAUGAUUAUGUUGGGCAUCCUACGUGGAGUGGUCAUGGUCAUUGACUUCUGACUCUUUGUCUUUCACCACUAUGUGUUUAAAUCCUGACCA